AGAGCUAUAAUCAAAUAAACUAUAUUCAUUGUUUUACUAUUAAAUCCGCCUUGAAUUUAUUAUUUCCAACAAAUUACCGUAUAAAUAUUUUUAUUGUAACCCAUCUCUACUAAAAUAUAAACUGCACCUUGACCUGACAUCAUUUAUAAUAAUAAAUUAAGAAAAUUAUUACUCUUUUAAGAUAUUCUGAUAACGGCGAUAUACAAAUUGAAAACUAAUUUUAGUAAGGUCCAACGUGGGCUAUCGAUUAAAGGACAGGUUCCUCUAAAUAGACUAAAACGCCGCCAAAUUCUUUAAGUUUAAAGAUCUUAUCUACUACUACUCAAGUAUUAAGCAUCACAUUUUAAAUAAUAGGGUAUCUAAUCCUAGUUUAUAGUUAAAAUUUUAUAGCUUCAUUAACUUACUUAUAUAAUAAUAAUUACUCUUAAAAUUUCACCUAAAAAAAGUAAUUUAAUAUUAAAAUUUAAAUCAAACUAACUAUAUUACUAAUCAAUCUUAAUCGCAUUAUUUG
rnacentral:rRNA from 1 species